GAGGAGUAGAAUUUCAAAAGGGGAGACAUUCCAAGGACCUCGGUAAGGCGUGCACAGACCUGCCUGUCUGCAGCGGGCUGAUUCAUCGCGUUCCGUGCCACUCGGGACCUCGGUAGAGUGUGGGCAGACCUGCCGGUCUGCAGCGGGAUGAUUCAGCAUCUUCCAUGUGACUCGGGACCUUGGUAGGGCGUGCACAGACCUCCCUGUCUGCAGCAGGCUGAUUCGGCGUGUUCUGUGCGACUCGGGACCUCGGGUCACCACAUUGCCCAGACUGGGCCCAAGCUUGCCAUUCUCCUGCCUCAGCCUCCCAGAUUGCUGUGAUUACAGGGUCUCUGCCUGCCCUGAGCAGCCACUGCCCACUCCUCAUCCUAGAUUCCACUUCCUCUUUGGAGCCAGC
rnacentral:lncRNA from 1 species